GUCUGACGGUGCUGAGUCAUUGUGAUUCAGUGAUUCCUUAAUGAAAAGGAUACAUGGAGAUAUUUCUUGUUUUUUUUUUUUGGAAGAUUAUCCCUGAGCUGACAUCUGCCACCAAUCCUCCUCUGUUUGCUGAGGAAGAUUGGCCCUGAGCAGGGAAGGUUAAACCAUGACAGGAUGGCUUCCCGUUUAAAAUGGAAUAUGCUCCAGUACCGCGUCUUCUAAUCUUGUACACCCAGUGUCCCACCCCGACACUGAAAAGUGACUUGCAUAACUCUGACACUGGAAAAGAAGCUUGAGGGGCAGCCAGAAUCUGAGAGGAAGCGGCAUGAAGUGAAAAUCUUACGGAGCCUGACUGAGGAUCCCUGUCAGGAGUGAUCAAAGCUUUGCUCCCGACACGGAAGAUCUUGCUGGAGGCUGACAGGCUUCUGCUCGCUCUCUGGUUAAGAACUCAGGACAGUGGGCAGUCAGAAGACUGGGCGGCCAUUCCUCCGCUGUGAAGGUUAAAAAUAAAAAGAUAAACAAGAUAAGGGGGAAAAAAAAGAAGAGAGAAGAAGGAAGGGAAGAAAAAAAUAAGACAAAGGGGCCUUGGACAUCCAUCAAUGGGGAACUGUGCAGCUGUGAUGAGAAAUGUGUCUAUUGCUGCUUUCUCUGUAGACUCCGCAGGAUGCAUUGUUACCUGAAAAAAACAAGAUGGAGGAAAGUAUAUAAUAUGCUACCAUUUAUCCACAAGAGGUGGCAGGGAUAUGAAUAUGUAUUUGCUUAUAUUUAAAAUCACGACAACAAAGCAAGAGCAUAAUAAAAAAAUGGAAAAAAUUUUAAAAAUUGGUCACCUAUAUUGGGAACAGGGUGGAGGAAACAUUGAUAAAACUACACUUUUUGACUACACAGAGAGGAAUUAUUUCAAGUGACUUUAAAAAACAGUAAUUUAACAUAUAAGCUUAGUGGGAUAUACCCUAAGAAUAAAAAGAACUGCAAACAUGCCUUAAGCUGCAUUCAGUUAUCAUGCUGCUUGUAAUAAUAUUAGCACCACUGUUCUGAAACUAUGGUAUGUAGUAUAGUAUAUGGCCAAUAUGUAAUUAUGCUUAUAUUAUUAAGAACCUAGAUGUUAGUAUGAGAAAAAGACAUAAAACCAAAGAAAUACAAAUCCUAUAAUCCUAAACUUAAAUAGAAAACAUCAGUAUGAGCUCAUGAUAUAUUUCUCAUAAGAACAAAACAAAACAAAAUUAAAAACCUUGUUUCCUUUCCCAGCUCUGCCCACCAAUGAGGGCUAGAAACGCUGCCCAGCCCGGUAGCAAUGACUCUCGUAGCACCAGACUGUCGUCUCUUAUACUAUGUCCCGCUAAAAGGAAGCUGCAUUCACACACAGCUAAUUUCAAGACUGGAGCAGGGAAAGUUCAAGAAGGUCCUGGGAUGUACUACCAUACAAUAAAGCAAGAAGUUUUCAGUGACCACCAAAACAGCAGCAAGAAGGAUUCAGAAGCCGAUUUGAGUGAUCAAGUCUACACAGUACUGCCCAUUAGAGAGGGAGAGAGCAGGAGAGCAGGGGACAGCAGACUUAUUAAAAGACACCACGUGGAUGCAAUCAGCAAACUGCAGAAUGUUGGAAAUUCUACCGGACAAAGUGACUCAGUUUCUUCACCAUAUCGAUGGCAAGGAGGGAAAAGAGGGAGGAUGUGCAGCUGAUGCUGUCGGUGCCCACUCGUAUCUUUUGUGUCUGUCACUGUGCUCAACCUGACUUCCAGUGAUCAGUAGCUGCCUCUGUGCCAAAAACCUUUUUCCCCCUGAACCGUGGAAGGCUGCUCUGCCCACUUUUGGAAAGAACUGACCCCAGAAGCAGCCCUCAGUCAAUGACUAAAUAAAGUGGAUGAAGAACCAUGCCAACCCCUUCAACUCUCAGGGGAUAAUCUUGAGGGGUGUGUGUGUGUGUUUAUACCUUUUCCACAAAUUUCCCCGCAGGAUUAAGCUUCAGCCCCACAUUGGUAAAUGGUUUAAUAGUGCUCCCUUGGCUGGUCUUUCUCUUCCCUGUAUCAUUUUCUUUCUCCCUAUGGUGUCCCUUGCACUUCCCAAAUAAAUACAUAUAUUGAAUCCUUGUCUUAGGGUCUACUUCUGGAGGAAGGAACUCAAACUCAGGCAGAGGGAGAACCAUAGAUUUUAAAAGAGACUUAAGAGGCAUGUCAACCAAUUGCGCAGUAUGGACCUUGUUAGAUCCUGAAUCAAAGAAAUUGUUUAAAGAACUUAGGAGACAAUCAGGGAAAUAUAAACACUGAAUAUUUAAUGUUACUUAAGAAUUUAUUUUUUAGGUGGCAUAAUGCUGUCAUGCUGGUGUUUAAAAUCAAGAGAAAAUAAUGAAUAUUUACAGAUAAAAUGUUACAAUAUCUGAGAUUUGAUUUCAAAUAAUGUGGGGUGCAGUUGUGGUUGGGCAUAUGACACAAGAUUGGUGAUGAGUUGAUAAUUAUUAAAACUGGGUGGUGGGUAUGUGAGGGCUCAUUAUACUAUUCUGUCUACUGUUGUAUAUGUCGGAAAUUUUCCCUAAUUAAAUACCAAAAAGAAGAUCUGAAAACUCCCUGGGG
rnacentral:lncRNA from 1 species